GAAAAAGAAUUGCAAGAACUGCUAAUUCAUGCGCUCCACACUUAAUAAUGUGGCUUUUUCA
rnacentral:tRNA from 1 species